rnacentral:tmRNA from 1 species
GGGGCUGAACGGUUUCGACUUCGCGCAUCGAAUCAAGGGAAGCGUGCCGGUGCAGGCAGGGACCACCGUAAGCGUCGUUGCAAACCAAUUAAGCGCCGAUUCCAAUCAGCGCGAUUACGCUCUCGCUGCCUAAGCGAAGCUAAUCCGUCAGACCGGGAGUGCCCUCGACCCGGACCCUGGCGUCAUCUAGAGGGACCCACCCACGGGUUCGGUCGCGGGAUCCGUGGGGACAUCAAACAGCGACUGGGAUCGUCAUCCUGACUUGUUCGCGGGAUCAGGAGAUCCGAGUAGAGGCAUAGCGAACUGCGCACGGAGAAGCCUUGAGGGAAUGCCGUAGGACCCGGGUUCAAUUCCCGGCAGCUCCACAA